rnacentral:rRNA from 1 species
UAAGACGUAGGGCGCGAGCGUUGUCCGGAUUUAUUGGGCGUAAAGAGCUCGUAGGCGGCUCAUUGCGUCAACCGUGAAAACCAGCAGCUCAACUGUUGGCUUGCGGUUGAUACGGGUGGGCUGGAGUUCGGUAGGGGAGACUGGAAUUCCUGGUGUAGCGGUGAAAUGCGCAGAUAUCAGGAGGAA